UUCCUGAUAGCUCAGUUGGUAAAGAAUCUGCCUGCAAUGCAGGAGACCCCGGUUCGAUUCCUGGGUUGGGAA
rfam:TPA: Bos taurus chromosome 24, whole genome shotgun sequence.